rnacentral:rRNA from 1 species
UACGGAGGGUGCGAGCGUUGUCCGGAAUCACUGGGCGUAAAGGGCGCGUAGGCGGCAGGCCAAGCGUGCGGUGAAAGUCCGGGGCUCAACCCCGGAUCUGCCGUGCGGACUGGUUUGCUAGAGCACUGUAGAGGCGAGUGGAAUUCCGGGUGUAGCGGUGGAAUGCGUAGAGAUCCGGAAGAACACCGGAUGGCGAAGGCGCUGAGCCC